UCACAAUUAUCGAUUAGCUUCAGCGAUGGAUCGGUCGAUUCGCGUAUCGAUGAAAAACGCAGCUAGCUGCGUUAUUUACCACGAAUUGCAGACGCUUAGAGUGGUGAAAUUUUGAACGCAUAGCGCCGUUGGGUUUUCCCUUCGGCACGUCUGGUUCAGGGUUGUU
rnacentral:rRNA from 1 species